UACGUAGGCAGCGAGCGUUGUUCGGAGUUACUGGGCGUAAAGGGUGCGUAGGCGGUUGUUUAAGUUUGGUGUGAAAUCUCCCGGCUCAACUGGGAGGGUGCGCCGAAUACUGAAUGACUAGAGUGCGGGAGAGGAUAGUGGAAUUCCUGGUGUAGCGGUGAAAUGCGUAGAUAUCAGGAGGAACACCGGUGGUGUAGACGGCUAUCUGGACCGGCAUUGACGCUGAGGCACGAAAGCGUGGGUAGCAAACAGG
rnacentral:rRNA from 1 species